rnacentral:rRNA from 1 species
UGGGGAAUAUUGCACAAUGGGCGCAAGCCUGAUGCAGCGACGCCGCGUGAGGGAUGACGGCCUUCGGGUUGUAAACCUCUUUCAGCUCCGACGAAGCGCAAGUGACGGUAGGAGUAGAAGAAGGACCGGCCAACUACGUGCCAGCAGCCGCGGUAAUACGUAGGGUCCGAGCGUUGUCCGGAAUUACUGGGCGUAAAGAGCUCGUAGGUGGUUUGUCGCGUUGUUCGUGAAAACUCACAGCUCAACUGUGGGCGUGCGGGCGAUACGGGCAGACUUGAGUACUGCAGGGGAGACUGGAAUUCCUGGUGUAGCGGUGGAAUGCGCAGAUAUCAGGAGGAACACCGGUGGCGAAGGCGGGUCUCUGGGCAGUAACUGACGCUGAGGAGCGAAAGCGUGGGGAGCGAACAGGAUUAGGAUACCCUGGUAGUCCACGCCGUAAACGGUGGGUACUAGGUGUGGGUUUCCUUCCGUUGGGAUCCGUGCCGUAGCUAACGC